rnacentral:rRNA from 1 species
GAUGAACGCUGGCGGCGUGCCUAACACAUGCAAGUCGAGCGAGAAUUUACAGAAUGAAGCUUUUUGCAGAUUUCUGUAAAGGAAAGCGGCGGACGGGUGAGUAACGCGUGAGUAACCUGCCCUUAAGAGGGGGAUAACACAUCGAAAGGUGUGCUAAUACCGCAUAAUGUACAUUUGCCGCAUGACAGAUGUACCAAAGAUUUAUCGCUUAAGGAUGGACUCGCGUCUGAUUAGAUAGUUGGUGAGGUAACGGCUCACCAAGUCGACGAUCAGUAGCCGAACUGAGAGGUUGAACGGCCACAUUGGGACUGAGAUACGGCCCAGACUCCUACGGGAGGCAGCAGUGGGGAAUAUUAGGCAAUGGGGGGCAACCCUGACCUAGCAACGCCGCGUGAAGGAAGAAGGCUUUCGGGUUGUAAACUUCUUUUACCUAGGGACGAAGGACGUGACGGUACCUGGAGAAAAAGCCACGGCUAACUACGUGCCAGCAGCCGC